rnacentral:lncRNA from 1 species
AAAAGAUCUUGGACCACCCUGGGUCUCAGUAAGAAGCACUUGAAAUACUGGUUCUUAUUACUGUUAUUGCCUUGUGCCUUUAAGUUGCUUCCGAUGUAUGGCCACCUUGUGAACUAGUGGCUUCCAAAAGGUCUACUCAUGAACAGCUCAGCUCUCCCAAACCCACAGCCCCGAGUUCCUUAAAGGAGCCAAUCCAUCUCAGAUUCGGUCUUCCUCAUUUCUUUCUUCCCCAAGCUGUUAGGGUUGAACUUUUUGAGUCCAUCUUUGGCCUUCGCGCGUUGGCGAGCGUGCCCGACUCUCUCUGAGCCAAGAGAUGCCAGCUGUGCUCGGGAAAAGCCCUUAGGUGUCCCCCCCCACACACUUUUCAGGAUCGUGGAGCCUGCAUGGCCAUUAUUGGGAUCCUGGGAUCGGUAGCCUCAUAAAAGUAACUUCCCCCAAACUUUGCGGGUCCGUUCUCUCCUGGCAACUCCUCCCCUGAAGGAUCUUUUAGCUGCUGCUUCUUUUUAACCCUUUGGCUGCCUUUUGCCUCUGCGGGAGUUUCAAGCGUUGAAAAGAGGUGCUUGGGAAAUCGGAUACCAAGGAUGGCUCCAGAGAAGCUCCACGUUCAUAUUCCCGGCCAGGUUUUCAGAAGAGGCGCCGGCAAAGGCGAUCCGUUCCCGGCUGGAGGGCCAGCCCUUCCCCUGCCCCGCUUCUCCGCCCCCUCUCCAUUCUUUGAUUCAUCCGGCGACUAACCCCCGGAUCCAAGACGCGAUAGAUCUUCUAUUUUUUGUUUUGUGUUGUUUUCCCCCUCCCCAGCUUCAUCGGCACCUUAUCUUUAGCUGUGACUUGAGAUGCUGGUGAGACCGCCCUACUGGACUUGCUCUUGCUGGCUAGGAGUUUGUUUCUGGCUUCUGACAGGCGAAGGAGGAUGUGUUAGCGCUCAGCUCUGCAGAAGCCCCCUGUGCAGCAGGAACAGCAACAAUGAGCAUCCGCCCAGCAAACAGCAGUGCCAGGGGCCUCACUGCUCAGGCAGGGUUGGGCAUACAUCCCGUGCCUUUCUUCACCCCGCCAGCCCUGUGCAAGGGCAGACACAGAGCAAGCAGCCGCCACCACCUCUCUUUUCCCUCCAGCAAGAGCAGAGGCAGCGGCAGCAGCAACCCUUUGUGGGUGGAAGACUUGAACACAGCUCUCUGUCCACAAGGCACACAGCAGAGAGUUGCUUUGGAGGAGGAGGAGGAGGAGACUGUGCCAUUAGGGCUCCCAAUGGUACCCUACGGAACUGCAAAGGCAUCGAGUGUCGGUUGCCCCCACGUCUUCGCCAGAAGCCGAGGCUAGCUAUCCAGGCUGUCCCUUGCCCCCCAAACCAGGAGGGAAGCUGUCCCGAGCCCUCUCUGGUCAGAGAAACUGAGAGGGCAGCCCAGUUUGUUGGAGAAGAUCUUGCCUACACAGCUUCUGAACUUGGGAGUGCCACUCUGGGCGUCCAGCUGACUUGCGAUGUUAAGCCAGGGGAAAAUGAAGUCCCAUCUGAAGAUGCCCUUGUACUCCAGCUUCAGCUCAUGAAAGGACAAGAGAAGUUUGUUGAAGCUCUCAAAAGCCAGCAGACCUUAAUCAUGGAUUUACAGCAAAAGUUGGCAGAGCAACAGAAUACGUUGGUUACCCAGCAGCGAGAAAUUAUUGAGCAACAGAGGAAAAUGUAUGAGCAGAUGGAUCUGAUAAAAGUCCAGUAUGGCAUGCUUUUUGACACUGUGAAGCAGAUGUCAUUGAAGGGUUUGCAAGAGGAUCUCCAGCACUAUUUUGAAGGCAAUCUACAAGGCCUUCGGAACCAACUCAGGAGCCACCUUCACAAGUCCUACUCUGGCCAUAAAAUUGAGUUUGAUGCCAAAGUGAUUGGGGAGCCUCUGAUGGGCUGUGGCCUUUGUGAAAGUGGUGAAUUUUGCAAUUUCCAGAAGACACCCUCUCGGUGUGAAAGAUGCACUUUGUGCCCUGCCGGCUUUUUCCAGCUGUCUGAAUGUUCUGCAAAUGCCGAUCGGAUCUGCCAGGAUAGAGAUGAAUGCGUUGAGUCACCAAGCAUCUGUGGGGAAAGAAUAAAAUGCCUAAACACUCCAGGAGGUUUCCGAUGCCUGGGUGUUGCUGAAAAAGAGGCUGCAUUGGGAUUGUGUGGAGAGGAAUAUUUCUUCAACAAAGAGGUGCUGGAGUGCCAAGCUUGCCUGACGUGUGAAGACGGGGUAGUUGCUUUCCCCUGUACUCUUGUUAGUGAUACCAUUUGUUCAACUGCCAGUGAAAACAAGCUUUCGGAGUCAUGGGCGGCGCACCUUGUUUUCCCUUUGGCAACGUCUAGCGCUUCUCAAGUUUAUCCAGGCUUUGACUUGACGAUAAAGGGAGAAGAGAAGUGCAAUAUAGUGACGGUGGAGGGCAACAGGGUGCUGUUCAAACAGCACGGCUUAAUGUGGGCUGACUUCAAUUUUGCGGUGAAACACAACUGUAGGAAUUUCCUCCACCUUUCUUUGAAAUUCAACAACAGUGAAGAAGACUACGAGUUGAGCGGAGUUCGUGUUGAACAGCCAGAAGGCAAAAUUUUGCAGAGCGUAACUCUGAGUAGCGCUACGGAGGUAGAACCAGGCCAUGUUCUUUCUGUUUUUUUGAAAAGCCCUAAUCAAUUCUGCAACCAAAGCAAAGACUUAAACGUUUAUGACCUCCAUGCACCUCUCAGUUUGUUUUGGUUGUCCCAUGACACCGGGGCAGUGGCGAUGACAGCCCAAACAUCAACUGCUGUGCACUACCAAACUAACUAUCGGCCAGCCUUUAAAUUGGUUUCUCUUUCCGACCCUUACAUGCUGGCUUUGUCCCACGAUGGCAGAGCCAUCAGGUUUACUGAAACGGGUGUUGUGAAGUUUGUUUUCCACCAAGCAUUAUACUCCAUGGGUCAUACCUGCAUUCGCGAAGGGUUUUCCCUGGCGUCUUACCUCAACAGAAAUGGCACCAAUACAGAACUAAUGACUGUGCAUAAGUCUGGUGUCAAUUACAGAGACACAACAAUAUCUGCCUCUGGGGCCACCAGAGUUGAAGCUGGGGAUCUGCUCAGCUUUGAAAUCCUGUCCCCAGCACAAUGCAGUGUUCGUUAUUUUGGAGACAGUUCUGGGAUUAGCAUGCUUAGCCUCAUCUGGAUCCCAUCCGCGGUUUCCACCGAACUUUCAGCCUUGGUCUCCAUAAGGGGGCUGCCAACAGGUGCUGUUAGAAACAGAUUAUUGGAUUUUACUCAGGUCUCACCAAGUGAAGAACAAAUCCAUCUCAUUUCUGCUGGACAAUAUGCUCACAAAUAUUUUGUAUUCAACGAAAGGGGAGUUGCUAGUGUUGCAUUUACCUUAAAGUUGAUUCAUUCCUGUAAUAUGCUCCAAGUGACUCUGAAUCAGCUUAUCAGUGAUCGUGGACAACCUAAAGCAGUUGCACAGCAGGUUGGUGGUCAAAUGCCAGAAGGAGCCAUUUGGACCAGUGUUAGCCUGCGUUCUUCUUUCAAAGUUCAUAAUGGUACGAUGAUUUCUAUUUCUCUCAACUGUGUACGUGGUAGGGUCAACCACAUUGCUCAUGAACGUGGAACUAGCUUAUCCAUCUUAUGGAUUUCUUCAUAGCUAUCCUGGAACAAAACAAAAUGUAACCAAAGAAACAGAGGAAAUGAGUAAAGAUGAUAUCUAGCAUCCAUUAGUAUUUUACUUUUCUCACUUUGCAUUGGAGUGGUGCAGAAAUUACCACCGAGAAAACAGACAAAGCUGAACAAAAGGGUAUGAUGGUUAUAUAAAAUGGAAGUUGACAUAUUCAUGACUAAUUGCCCUAAGAUGGAGUCAACUCAUUGAUUUUCAGUAGGAUUUUGUUCUCUAAUGGUGAUGUUGGCACUGAGGAUGAUGGGAGUUCUGAUCCAACACACCUGGCAGACAUGAGGUCAGGGUUGACUGGUCUGGUUUUUCAAGGAGAAUAGAGUUUUCACUUUUUACGAGAGGACAAUAUUCUAGAUGUCAGUCCUGACAAAAGAUUCAAAGCAUACUUUUGGAUUUAAAAAAUAGAUUCAAGAAAGAAAAAAAGGAACCUUUUAAGAUCCUGGUAGUUUUAAGCUGAGUCUGCUUGUCAAGGCCAGUAUGAAUGGUGGGAGGACAACUUGUUCAGGUCUGAAGAGGUUGCCAUGGAAAACCUUUGCCUGGAGGUCUGGUAAUAAUGACCUUCAACCCCAAAAGGACAGAGUAGUAAUGAAAAUAUUUGUUCAUGGAUAUUUGUACUUCCAAAAGCAAAAGUUAGAAGUCUAAUCCUAUUAAAACAAACUGGUAUUCAGUGGUAGACCCAACCAUUAAAAACAUCAAAGGAACUUUAAAGUACUUAACCAAAAUCGUGCCUUAUAAUUUCAGUACAUACAGUAUUGCAUCAACCUCACUUCUGUAAUUCCUUCAAAAUACUAUAUAUUUAUCACCUUUGUAAAGAAUAUUUAUUGGGAAAAGAUAGCCUCAUAAGGUGAGGUUCAAACAAUUGUGUGCAAAGUUUCUAAGCUCCCACCUGACCCCCUGAAAUAAUUCCUCUUUAAAAGCAGAUUAUAUGAAACAGAAGUUUUCCUGUUUUUUCCAGAAGAGAUUUAGUUUAUAUAAUCAGUUGCUAUUUUAUAAAAGGCUAAAUAUUAAUCUUCAAUGUGUUCUAAACAUCUGUUAUUUUUCAACAGAAAUUGUCUGGAGAUAUUUCAUUCUAUCAAAUUCUGUGUAUUUUCAAAUGUGUACAGAGAUGGGAAAGAAAGUAAGACUCUAGGGCUAAAUUCAUUUACCUGGAAUUAUUUCUCGCUGAACUCAGUGGGGCUUUCUUCACUCCAGCAUGAAUAGAACUCCAGUGUAUAGGCAUUUAUAGGAUUAUACUGUAAGUAUGUUCACUUAAAUUACACAAAUUGUUGUUGAUGUUGUGGCUUCUGCUGGUGUUUAUGCAGAAUACAAUGCAUUAUGAAAACUAUAUUAGUUUAUACUAUUUUUUAUCUCUAAAUAUCAUUGUACUCUUUCUAAUGUGCACUGCAUCAGGACAGUUGAACAUAAAUAAAAAUAUUUAAUUUACCUGCCA